UCCAGACUCCUACGGGAGGCAGCAGUGGGGGAUAUUGCACAAUGGGGGGAACCCUGAUGCAGCGACGCCGCGUGGGUGAAGGAGCGUUUCGGCGCGUAAAGCCCUAUCGGCAGGGAAGAAGGAGGACGGUACCUGACUAAGAAGCCCCGGCUAACUACGUGCCAGCAGCCGCGGUAAUACGUAGGGGGCAAGCGUUAUCCGGAUUUACUGGGUGUAAAGGGGGCGCAGACGGCAGCGCAAGCCAGGAGUGAAAGCCCGGGGCCCAACCCCGGGACUGCUCUUGGAACUGCGCGGCUGGAGUGCAGGAGGGGCAGGCGGAAUUCCUGGUGUAGCGGUGAAAUGCGUAGAUAUCAGGAGGAACACCGGUGGCGAAGGCGGCCUGCUGGACUGCGACUGACGUUGAGGCCCGAAAGCGUGGGGAGCAAACAGGAUUAGAUACCCGGGUACGG
rnacentral:rRNA from 1 species